ACAAACAUGUUUGAGAGGAUUUUGAAGAUCUUCCUAAAAUUUGGUGGGCUCACGACACUCGUAGCUCACCUUCUCACUUUUCGAACUCCAGGCUGAAACCCUGAAGAACUCACUGAAAUCUUGCGCACACUUUUUCUUCUUUUCUUUCUUUUUCUCUCGAAAGGAUAUUGACCUUCACCAUGCACACAAGGAUUCCUCACGUCCAGAUUUUCUUUCAAAAUUUUUCUU
rnacentral:lncRNA from 1 species